GACGAACGCUGGCGGCGUGCUUAACACAUGCAAGUCGAACGGUAAGGCCUUUCGGGGUACACGAGUGGCGAACGGGUGAGUAACACGUGGGUGAUCUGCCCUGCACUUUGGGAUAAGCCUGGGAAACUGGGUCUAAUACCGAAUAUGACCAUGGACUUCACGGUUUGUGGUGGAAAGCUUUUGCGGUGUGGGAUGGGCCCGCGGCCUAUCAGCUUGUUGGUGGGGUAAUGGCCUACCAAGGCGACGACGGGUAGCCGGCCUGAGAGGGUGACCGGCCACACUGGGACUGAGAUACGGCCCAGACUCCUACGGGAGGCAGCAGUGGGGAAUAUUGCACAAUGGGCGCAAGCCUGAUGCAGCGACGCCGCGUGAGGGAUGACGGCCUUCGGGUUGUAAACCUCUUUCAGUAGGGACGAAGCGCAAGUGACGGUACCUAUAGAAGAAGGACCGGCCAACUACGUGCCAGCCGCCGCCGUAACAC
rnacentral:rRNA from 1 species